CCAAAACAAUUAACAGUGUACAUGACUUCACACAUUAUAACCUUGAAUUGAAAAAAAGAUUUUACGAUAUCCUGUCGCGUUCAAGCAUUUAUUGUUCUUUAAUUAAGCGUAAAAUGCCUAAGCGUAGCAAAAAAACUGAUCAAAAGAAUAGUGUUGGUGGGAAUAAAAAGAAGCAGCAGGGAGCAGCAAUCUAGUUGGAUCUAGUGAUUUUAGUGGCUUUGCUACGACCUCAGCACUGCCUCAAUCAGUAAAACCAAAUCGUUUCACCAUAUAUACUCCGCUACCGAAUCAAGCUUGUUCAUCCAAUCGAUCUGGUAAAUUGAAUUAUCCUUUGACUGUUCUGGAACGAUGUUUUCCUGUCUGAAAAAGACUUUUACGACUGAUCCAAAUAUUAACGUAACCGUGAAGCAACUGGAAGAUAUAGACAGAGAAUCGAAGAGCGUUGGACAGUUUGUGCAGAAUCUGGCUUUGCUGAUGUACGGAGCUGAAGCCUUGCGGGAAGCUACCCGAAUAGAAAUGAACUGCACCAAAACAGUAAUAUUAACUGUAACAGUACAGUAAAAAUACAUUAUUUUACAACAAAAUGCAUUGUAAACCGAACACCGAAGAAACAAUGAAAUUUAACGUUUUAACCUCAAUUUUUACUGUAAAAUCGGUUUUUACAGUAAAAAUGGGGGGUGGUUAUGUAUCUUUACAUUAAAAAAAAUCAAAUUUUUCCAUA